rnacentral:tRNA from 1 species
GUCGUCGUGGCCGAGUGGUUAAGGCGACAGACUAGAAAUCUGUUGGGGCUCUGCCCGCACAGGUUGGAAUCCUGUCGGCGACG